AUGGCAUCCAAAACAGCCUUCAUGGCUGUGGUUUUGCUCGUCCUCGUGGCCGGCGAUCUCGCCGGUGGCCAUGUCGUGCCACCGCUCCGGCGCGGCACGCGGAGCCACGGCUGGAUGCAAGGCAUCAAGGGAGGGUUGCCCACUGGCACGCAGCCAUCAGACACCAUUUCUACUGCCUGCCAAGGCGCCAUUUCUUGGGUGGAUAAAGGUAGAGGACUCUGCGCCAUUGCGUUGAUAAUUUUCUGGUGGCGAGGAAAGCAGCCGGGAGGAAGGCAAGUUCAUCGCGCCUGCACCGGGAUUCAAGCUCCCGCCCCUUCCCCCGAACGCUCCCUGAUAAGAGAUCACAUCACAGGGCGAGCAUGCAUGCAUGCCAUGGCAUCGACCAUCACUAGGUCUGUCAGCAAAGGUGCCGUAGUGUUCAACGAUGCUUUAUAUAUAUUGUUCAGCAUCGAUCUGCUAUUAGGAGAGCCCAUGUUCAUCAUUCCUGUCCAGGAGUGCGUGCUCCCGGGAGCACCAACGGAUUUCCGGAAACAUGACCACUAUGCAUGCAACAAAUGUUCUUACCAAAAGCAUGAUGCUGCUAUGUGGUUACUGGGCCGACCCAACAACGGCUCCCUGCACGCGACCCUGCACUACAUAACCACACCCAUCCCUCAAAAGCAGGCUGAGUGUGUUGGGCUCUCCUUCUGGAUAGGCCCUCAUCUUUCAGAAUCAUUAGUGUUUUCACCAUAUCUAAGUUUACUCUCAAAAAUCACAAAUGACAAGUUCAUCGCACCUGUGCCGGAUUCAAGCUCCCGCCCCUUGCUCCGAAUGCUCCCUGAGAAGAGAUCACAUCAGAGAGUGAUCAUGCAUGCAUUUCAUGGCAUUAACCAUCACUAG
rnacentral:rRNA from 1 species